UAAGCUAUGAUCCAGAGAUUUCCGAAUGGGGGAACCCAACAUCUUUAAUAGGAUGUUACGAUUGUGUGAAUACAUAGCACAUUCGAGGUAGACGCAGAGAACUGAAACAUCUAAGUACCUGCAGGAAGAGAAAGAAAAUUCGAUUCCCUGAGUAGCGGCGAGCGAAACGGGAAAAGCCCAAACCAGCAAGCUUGCUUGUUGGGGUUGUAGGACUCCAAUAUGGUAGUUCUUUCAGAUAGUCGAAUGACUUGGAAAAGUCAGUCAAAGAGGGUAAAAACCCCGUAGACGAAAUGUGGAAGACACCUAGGAGGAUCCUGAGUACGGCGGAACACGAGAAAUUCCGUCGGAAUCCGGGAGGACCAUCUCCCAAGGCUAAAUACUCCCUAGUGACCGAUAGUGAACCAGUACCGUGAGGGAAAGGUGAAAAGCACCCCGGAAGGGGAGUGAAAUAGAACCUGAAACCGUGUGCCUACAACAAGUCAAAGCCCGUUAAUGGGUGAUGGCGUGCCUUUUGUAGAAUGAACCGGCGAGUUACGAUUGCAUGCGAGGUUAAGUUGAAGAGACGGAGCCGCAGCGAAAGCGAGUCUGAAUAGGGCGUUUGAGUAUGUAGUCGUAGACCCGAAACCAUGUGAUCUACCCAUGUCCAGGUUGAAGGUGCGGUAAAACGCACUGGAGGACCGAACCCACGUACGUUGAAAAGUGCGGGGAUGAGGUGUGGGUAGCGGAGAAAUUCCAAACGAACUUGGAGAUAGCUGGUUCUCUCCGAAAUAGCUUUAGGGCUAGCCUCGGAAUUGAGAAUGAUGGAGGUAGAGC
rnacentral:rRNA from 1 species